AGCUCAGGCAGGUCAAAGAAGCUGUCCCAGGAAAGGAGGUCCACGAAGGAUGCUCACAAUGUCAGCUGGUGAAGAGAGCCCACAGGAAGAAUAGGGCUGCAAACAAGAGGCAUGAUUCGGGAAAGGCCUAAUGCACACAUACAGAGUCCCUGCUCAGUGGCACGCACUGUGGCUUCUAGGAGGAUGAAGUCCACACACUUGAGAACUCACUGAUCACAGGGAAAACUUCCAGGAAUGACGGGCCAGAGGUGAGGGUCAGGGGAAGGCCUUUUGGAAGCAGUCCUGCUCCUGUGAUUCAUGACUCUGGGAAAAAAGCAGAAGUGGAUUCCUGCAAAUUUGCAGAGUCAGUUCUCAGCACAGCAGUUGGAGUGAUCUUAUUGAAGGGAACUAAAGGGAUUGAAAGAGAAAUCAUGUGUGAACAUGGCUCUGUGGGCAACACAGGAUUGCCUUUCUGAGUGGGCUACAUAGCUGCCAAUAUGGAAUAAUAUGCUUACUGCCUCCAGAAGAUGGUAUGGACUGGAUUGUGCCCUCCCAAAUUCAUAUUUUGAGGUCCUCACCCCCAGUAUAUCACCAAAUGUGAUACUUGGGAGUCUUUAAAGAGAUAAUUAAAGUUAAGUUAUUAGGGUGGGCUCUAAUCCCAUGUGGCUUUAUAAGAAGAGGCAUUUUAGACACAGACACACACGAGGGAAGAUGAUGUGGAGACAUGCAGAGAAGAUGACCACACCUACA